rnacentral:rRNA from 1 species
CUAUACUCAAGAGUGACGGGCGAUAUGUACUUUUGCUAUAGCCUUUUCAAUAAAAAAUUUUAUUUUUAAUUUACUUUCACAUCCAGAUUCAAUAAUAAUUUAAAAAUAAAUCUUAUAAAAGUAACUCAUUUAAACCUAAUUUAUACUCUACACAUUGACCUGAAAUCAAAAUAACUAUGAUAUAAAAAAAUCUAAAUCAAAAUAAUAACAGCCGUACAUAAAAUUAAAAAUAGAGAAAAUAAAAGCGGGUUAUCUAUCAUAAUAAACAAAUUCCUGUGAAAGGUUAACAAACCGCCAAAGAUAUUAAG